rnacentral:rRNA from 1 species
UAAACUUAGUGGCGAACGGGUGAGUAACGCGUGAGUAACCUGCCCUGGAGUGGGGGACAACAGUUGGAAACGACUGCUAAUACCGCAUAAGCCCACGAUCCGGCAUCGGAUUGAGGGAAAAGGAUUUAUUCGCUUCAGGAUGGACUCGCGUCCAAUUAGCUAGUUGGUGAGGUAACGGCCCACCAAGGCGACGAUUGGUAGCCGGACUGAGAGGUUGAACGGCCACAUUGGGACUGAGACACGGCCCAGACUCCUACGGGAGGCAGCAUG